CCUACGGGAGGCAGCAGUGGGGAAUAUUGGACAAUGGGCGAAAGCCUGAUCCAGCCAUGCCGCGUGUGUGAAGAAGGCCUUCGGGUUGUAAAGCACUUUCAGUGGCGAAGAAAGCCUUGGGGCUAAUACCCUCGAGGAAGGACAUCACCCACAGAAGAAGCACCGGCUAACUCCGUGCCAGCAGCCGCGGUAAUACGGAGGGUGCGAGCGUUAAUCGGAAUUACUGGGCGUAAAGCGCGCGUAGGCGGUCUGAUAAGCCGGUUGUGAAAGCCCCGGGCUCAACCUGGGAACGGCAUCCGGAACUGUCAGGCUAGAGUGCAGGAGAGGAAGGUAGAAUUCCCGGUGUAGCGGUGAAAUGCGUAGAGAUCGGGAGGAAUACCAGUGGCGAAGGCGGCCUUCUGGACUGACACUGACGCUGAGGUGCGAAAGCGUGGGUAGCAAACAGGAUUAGAUACCCUAGUAGUC
rnacentral:rRNA from 1 species